AGCGAACGCUGGCGGCAGGCUUAACACAUGCAAGUCGAGCGGGCCUUUCGGGGUCAGCGGCGGACGGGUGAGUAACGCGUGGGAACGUGCCCUCUGGUUCGGAAUAACUCAGGGAAACUUGAGCUAAUACCGGAUACGCCCUUUUGGGGAAAGGCUUGCUGCCGGAGGAUCGGCCCGCGUCUGAUUAGCUAGUUGGUGAGGUAACGGCUCACCAAGGCGACGAUCAGUAGCUGGUCUGAGAGGAUGAUCAGCCACACUGGGACUGAGACACGGCCCAGACUCCGACGGGAGGCAGCAGUGGGGAAUAUUGGACAAUGGGCGCAAGCCUGAUCCAGCCAUGCCGCGUGAGUGAUGAAGGCCUUAGGGUUGUAAAGCUCUUUUAUCCGGGACGAUAAUGACGGUACCGGAGGAAUAAGCCCCGGCUAACUUCGUG
rnacentral:rRNA from 1 species